AUCGGUUCCACCUCUAUCCGAGUCGUGCAUAGCGGCAAUGCGCCUUGGUAAUAACGCGAGCGCGCGCACGAGGUUUCCCUGAUGUUUGCUGAUGCCCAACGAGGCACGCGUUGCCAGGAGCGCUUCCGUUCUCCGGGCAUCGACGAAGCAACCGCAGCACCUGGACCAGAACACGACCUGUUCUACAAUAUGCUUCUGAGCACGUCCGGCAGCAUUCGAGCUGCGACGGGAAUCACGCAACGCUUUACGGUACCCUGCACUUGCGACGAGGCAAGUCUUAGCUGCGCGCGAGGGUCAGCGCGUGCGACUGGGACACGAAGUAUUCGCGUGCUGGGAUCUGUAGACGUCUCAUGAAGGCGACACCUUCGCUUUCAUCAGGCGUCUGCGGAGAAGAUUCUUCCGUGAAGUUACCACAGCAUCAGAAGCCGUAUCCUCAGCGGUUCCGGUGCACCCCAGACCCAGAAACGGUUCCGCUUCCAUGCCUCCGAGUUGCAGAGCUGCUGCGGGAAGCUGCACCUCGGGGCUCAUCGCGAGAGCAACCGUGCUUUCUAGGACGCUGAGGGGUACGCUCGUCACGAUGUAGAGAAGACCAUUUUGUGGGUCAAUCGAUCGCACGAGCCCCAGACCAGGGGAGCGCAGGAGCCAUCGCUGCGGCGCCUGCAACGAUAUCUCCUCCGUCGGUUCCUCCUUAUCGAUCACAGUAACACACAAUGCGACGACACUGGCGUUCAGCAUGCUGUAUAAUCGCUCCGAAUCAUGGCCAGGCUGGAGACGAUGCAUCCCGCACGGCUCGAUCAUGAAUACUGCCGCAAAGAACUCCAGGGGCACGCACCACGGUGUGAUGCUGCAAAGCAACUGAACAAUCGGGUAUGCCGGUUGAUUCUGCCAUAAAAACCACCGGAACUGAUCCGCAAUGAUUCCGCGUGGUAAUCCAUCUUCACACUGCUGCACAAGUUCAUGGAUGAGUUGGGACGCACGCGCAACUGCUGGUAACAGCGAUCGCUGCUUGUGAGCCGAACUCGGGGCUCGCUGGACGUGUAGCACCUGAACACGUGACCCGGCAGUGGUACCGAAUGCUUCUAUUUCUGCUUCGCCACCAGCGUGUUGCGCAUCGGUUCCUUCGCUGACCCAAACGAUAAGGUCGGGGCGAAUCGUGUCCAGCACGGAGCCGAGUAGCACUUCGCCAUAGCCACGAACCCAACCCAUUGUGUUCACGAGCACCAGUCGUUUCCCGCGCCAAGCUUCGCAAGCGCUCCACAAUCGCUGCACCGCCUGUCGAUACAACGCCGGAUCCGCGAAUGGUGUGACGUUCCCGCAGAAGACGCUCUCGAGGCACGCAGUCGAUGCCCUCCAUAUCGGCCACGCCAAGUCGCGAACUUCAUGGAAAGAGACGUACCCAGGAGCUAAGAAAUAAUUCUGACCUAAAUCGAGUUCCAGAAUGAGCGGCUGCGGGUGAUAGGGCCAGCCCAUGAAACUCAACUGCGAUACGAGUGUUGAUUUGCCGGUAUGGCGGGGUCCAGCAACCAGCACAACAGGAGCUUGCUCCCCUGGUAGUGCUGCAACAAGGUUCUCUAGCCCGGAAAAGUGCAGCGGCGGUGCGGUGUAACGAGCAACGAGUGACUUCGGGGUCAAAUGCUGGCUGUUUUCUGCUGGCGCUGAUAGACGAAUAGGCCACGGAUAGGAACCGCGGCUACGAUCCGUGAUGAGAAGUACGAGUUGCCCCUGUUGCACCCGCCAGACCGGUGCACUUUGCCAGGCAGGUGCAUCGACAGGCACCGGGUCCUGCCAAAUGCUCAGUGCUGUCUCUGCACUGUUAAAGAACAAACGCUGCCGCAGGGGACCUUGAGCGCCAGCAAUGGUAACGCUGUACUUUCCACAGAGACAGAGUUGUUCCCCUUCAGAGAGGCGAAUUCGAUAGACUCGCUUCCGCACAGGUUGUAAACGAU
rnacentral:misc_RNA from 1 species